rnacentral:rRNA from 1 species
GGUUAAGCGACUAAGCGUACACGGUGGAUGCCCUGGCAGUCAGAGGCGAUGAAGGACGUGCUAAUCUGCGAUAAGCGUCGGUAAGGUGAUAUGAACCGUUAUAACCGGCGAUUUCCGAAUGGGGAAACCCAGUGUGAUUCGUCACACUAUCAUUAACUGAAUCCAUAGGUUAAUGAGGCGAACCGGGGGAACUGAAACAUCUAAGUACCCCGAGGAAAAGAAAUCAACCGAGAUUCCCCCAGUAGCGGCGAGCGAACGGGGAGGAGCCCAGAGCCUGAAUCAGUGUGUGUGUUAGUGGAAGCGUCUGGAAAGGCGCGCGAUACAGGGUGACAGCCCCGUACACAAAAAUGCACAUGCUGUGAGCUCGAUGAGUAGGGCGGGACACGUGGUAUCCUGUCUGAAUAUGGGGGGACCAUCCUCCAAGGCUAAAUACUCCUGACUGACCGAUAGUGAACCAGUACCGUGAGGGAAAGGCGAAAAGAACCCCGGCGAGGGGAGUGAAAAAGAACCUGAAACCGUGUACGUACAAGCAGUGGGAGCACAGAGCAAUCUGUGUGACUGCGUACCUUUUGUAUAAUGGGUCAGCGACUUAUAUUCUGUAGCAAGGUUAACCGAAUAGGGGAGCCGAAGGGAAACCGAGUCUUAACUGGGCGUUAAGUUGCAGGGUAUAGACCCGAAACCCGGUGAUCUAGCCAUGGGCAGGUUGAAGGUUGGGUAACACUAACUGGAGGACCGAACCGACUAAUGUUGAAAAAUUAGCGGAUGACUUGUGGCUGGGGGUGAAAGGCCAAUCAAACCGGGAGAUAGCUGGUUCUCCCCGAAAGCUAUUUAGGUAGCGCCUCGUGAAUUCAUCUCCGGGGGUAGAGCACUGUUUCGGCAAGGGGGUCAUCCCGACUUACCAACCCGAUGCAAACUGCGAAUACCGGAGAAUGUUAUCACGGGAGACACACGGCGGGUGCUAACGUCCGUCGUGAAGAGGGAAACAACCCAGACCGCCAGCUAAGGUCCCAAAGUCAUGGUUAAGUGGGAAACGAUGUGGGAAGGCCCAGACAGCCAGGAUGUUGGCUUAGAAGCAGCCAUCAUUUAAAGAAAGCGUAAUAGCUCACUGGUCGAGUCGGCCUGCGCGGAAGAUGUAACGGGGCUAAACCAUGCACCGAAGCUGCGGCAGCGACGCUUAUGCGUUGUUGGGUAGGGGAGCGUUCUGUAAGCCUGUGAAGGUGUACUGUGAGGUAUGCUGGAGGUAUCAGAAGUGCGAAUGCUGACAUAAGUAACGAUAAAGCGGGUGAAAAGCCCGCUCGCCGGAAGACCAAGGGUUCCUGUCCAACGUUAAUCGGGGCAGGGUGAGUCGACCCCUAAGGCGAGGCCGAAAGGCGUAGUCGAUGGGAAACAGGUUAAUAUUCCUGUACUUGGUGUUACUGCGAAGGGGGGACGGAGAAGGCUAUGUUGGCCGGGCGACGGUUGUCCCGGUUUAAGCGUGUAGGCUGGUUUUCCAGGCAAAUCCGGAAAAUCAAGGCUGAGGCGUGAUGACGAGGCACUACGGUGCUGAAGCAACAAAUGCCCUGCUUCCAGGAAAAGCCUCUAAGCAUCAGGUAACAUCAAAUCGUACCCCAAACCGACACAGGUGGUCAGGUAGAGAAUACCAAGGCGCUUGAGAGAACUCGGGUGAAGGAACUAGGCAAAAUGGUGCCGUAACUUCGGGAGAAGGCACGCUGAUAUGUAGGUGAAGUCCCUCGCGGAUGGAGCUGAAAUCAGUCGAAGAUACCAGCUGGCUGCAACUGUUUAUUAAAAACACAGCACUGUGCAAACACGAAAGUGGACGUAUACGGUGUGACGCCUGCCCGGUGCCGGAAGGUUAAUUGAUGGGGUCAGCGCAAGCGAAGCUCUUGAUCGAAGCCCCGGUAAACGGCGGCCGUAACUAUAACGGUCCUAAGGUAGCGAAAUUCCUUGUCGGGUAAGUUCCGACCUGCACGAAUGGCGUAAUGAUGGCCAGGCUGUCUCCACCCGAGACUCAGUGAAAUUGAACUCGCUGUGAAGAUGCAGUGUACCCGCGGCAAGACGGAAAGACCCCGUGAACCUUUACUAUAGCUUGACACUGAACAUUGAGCCUUGAUGUGUAGGAUAGGUGGGAGGCUUUGAAGUGUGGACGCCAGUCUGCAUGGAGCCGACCUUGAAAUACCACCCUUUAAUGUUUGAUGUUCUAACGUUGACCCGUGAUCCGGGUUGCGGACAGUGUCUGGUGGGUAGUUUGACUGGGGCGGUCUCCUCCUAAAGAGUAACGGAGGAGCACGAAGGUUGGCUAAUCCUGGUCGGACAUCAGGAGGUUAGUGCAAUGGCAUAAGCCAGCUUGACUGCGAGCGUGACGGCGCGAGCAGGUGCGAAAGCAGGUCAUAGUGAUCCGGUGGUUCUGAAUGGAAGGGCCAUCGCUCAACGGAUAAAAGGUACUCCGGGGAUAACAGGCUGAUACCGCCCAAGAGUUCAUAUCGACGGCGGUGUUUGGCACCUCGAUGUCGGCUCAUCACAUCCUGGGGCUGAAGUAGGUCCCAAGGGUAUGGCUGUUCGCCAUUUAAAGUGGUACGCGAGCUGGGUUUAGAACGUCGUGAGACAGUUCGGUCCCUAUCUGCCGUGGGCGCUGGAGAACUGAGGGGGGCUGCUCCUAGUACGAGAGGACCGGAGUGGACGCAUCACUGGUGUUCGGGUUGUCAUGCCAAUGGCACUGCCCGGUAGCUAAAUGCGGAAGAGAUAAGUGCUGAAAGCAUCUAAGCACGAAACUUGCCCCGAGAUGAGUUCUCCCUGAC